CACAGCCGUAGAAUAUGGCUAUUGUUAUGUAAAGCAUUACGAAGUCCCUCUGUUAGUACUCGUCCUGUGUUUCAUAAGUAAUAUCUAUAUUUCACGCCUAAAGAACUAAGAAUUUAAUGAAAAUACAGGAUCAAGACUAUGUCUGAAACCAUUACAGGCCAGGUAAAAUUCUUCAACGAGUCCAAAGGCUUUGGAUUUAUUCAACAGGAUAAUGGCCCGGAUGUGUUCGUUCACUUCAGCGCUAUCCAAGGCACUGGCUUUAAAACUCUGAAAGAAGGUCAAAAAGUACAAUUUACUGUUGGCCAAGGUCAAAAGGGACCUCAAGCUGAAAAUGUGGUAGCUCUGUAAGCAGACGCCUGAAACGUUUUUCUGUUAAGGCUGAUCAGCAUCCGCUGAUCAGCCUUUU
rnacentral:sRNA from 1 species